GACGAACGCUGGCGGCGUGCCUAAUACAUGCAAGUCGAGCGGACCGAACAGGAGCUUGCUCUUGUUCGGUUAGCGGCGGACGGGUGAGUAACACGUGGGUAACCUGCCCGUAAGACCGGGAUAACUCCGGGAAACCGGAGCUAAUACCGGAUAACACCGAAGACCGCAUGGUCUUUGGUUGAAAGGCGGCUUCGGCUGCCACUUACGGAUGGGCCCGCGGCGCAUUAGCUAGUUGGUGAGAUAACGGCUCACCAAGGCGACGAUGCGUAGCCGGCCUGAGAGGGUGACCGGCCACACUGGGACUGAGACACGGCCCAGACUCCUACGGGAGGCAGCAGUAGGGAAUCUUCCGCAAUGGACGAAAGUCUGACGGAGCGACGCCGCGUGAGCGAAGAAGGUCUUCGGAUCGUAAAGCUCUGUUGUUAGGGAAGAAGAAGCGUCGUUCGAACAGGGCGGCGCGGUGACGGUACCUAACGAGAAAGCCCCGGCUAACUACGUG
rnacentral:rRNA from 1 species